GCAGCCAUGCCGCGUGUGUGAAGAAGGCCUUCGGGUUGUAAAGCACUUUCAGUUGUGAGGAAGGCGUUGUCGUUAAUAGCGGCAGUGUUUGACGUUAGCAACAGAAGAAGCACCGGCUAACUCCGUGCCAGCAGCCGCGGUAAUACGGAGGGUGCGAGCGUUAAUCGGAAUUACUGGGCGUAAAGCGCAUGCAGGCGGCUUGUUAAGCCAGAUGUGAAAGCCCGGGGCUCAACCUCGGAAUAGCAUUUGGAACUGUCAGGCUAGAGUCUUGUAGAGGGGGGUAGAAUUUCAGGUGUAGCGGUGAAAUGCGUAGAGAUCUGAAGGAAUACCGGUGGCGAAGGCGGCCCCCUGGACAAAGACUGACGCUCAGAUGCGAAAGCGUGGGGAGCAAACAGGAUUAGAUACCCUGGUAGUCCACGCCGUAAACGAUGUCUACUUGGAGGUUGGUGUCUUGAACACUGGCUUUCGGAGCUAACGCGUUAAGUAGACCGCCUGGGGAGUACGGUCGCAAGAUUAAAACUCAAAUGAAUUGACGGGGGCCCGCACAAGCGGUGGAGCAUGUGGUUUAAUUCGAUGCAACGCGAAGAACCUUACCUACUCUUGACAUCCAGAGAACUUUCCAGAGAUGGAUUGGUGCCUUCGGGAACUCUGAGACAGGUGCUGCAUGGCUGUCGUCAGCUCGUGUUGUGAAAUGUUGGGUUAAGUC
rnacentral:rRNA from 1 species